AUUGAACGCUGGCGGUAUGCUUAAGACAUGCAAGUCGAACGGUAACAGACCUUCGGGUGCUGACGAGUGGCGGACGGGUGAGUAACACGUGGGAAUCUACCUUGUAGUGGGGGAUAAGCCAGGGAAACUUGGACUAAUACCGCAUACGCCCUAAGGGGGAAAGGAGCAAUUCGCUAUAAGAUGAGCCCGCGUCUGAUUAGCUAGUUGGUGAGGUAAAGGCUCACCAAGGCGACGAUCAGUAGCUGGUCUGAGAGGAUGACCAGCCACAUUGGGACUGAGACACGGCCCAGACUCCUACGGGAGGCAGCAGUCGGGAAUAUUGGACAAUGGGGGCAACCCUGAUCCAGCAAUACCGCGUGUGUGAAGAAGGCCUGCGGGUUGUAAAGCACUUUUAGUAGGGAAGAUAAUGACGUUACCUACAGAAAAAGCACCGGCUAA
rnacentral:rRNA from 1 species